GGCCUGUUAAGGGAGACCCCGUUGGACUUAUUCAGGUUGAAUGGAGUCUAUUUAGAGCUUUCCUGGGCAUCUCCUCCCUGUUCCAAAUGCCAGCUGGGAUUCCUAAGCAAAACUGCAACUGUCUUACCUGCCUGGGUGUGUGAGCACCGUGUCCAAGCUACCACAGCCCCAACAGAGCCAACUAUCCUCAAGACUGAGGAAGGCGCCAUGAUGUCAGCUGUACUGACCGAUUAUCAGGAAUCUAAGCUGAGGGCCGGGGAGACAUGAAGACCCGAGUUCAAUUCCCAGAACCUGUGCAAAAAUAAAAAAUGAAGAUGAAACAGGAG
rnacentral:lncRNA from 1 species